rnacentral:rRNA from 1 species
CCUACGGGCGGCAGCAGUGGGGAAUAUUGCGCAAUGGGCGAAAGCCUGACGCAGCGACGCCGCGUGAGGGAUGAAGGUCUUCGGAUCGUAAACCCCUGUUAGCAGGGAAGAACGGUCACUGUGCUAAUCAGCAGUGAAUUGACGGUACCUGCAAAGGAAGCACCGGCUAACUCCGUGCCAGCGGCCGCGGUAAUACGGAGGGUGCGAGCGUUAAUCGGAAUUGAUGGGCGUAAAGCGCUCGUAGGCGGUAUGUCAAGUCAAGGGUGAAAUCCCCGCGCUCAACGUGGGAACUGCCUUUGAAACUGGGAAACUGGAGUGUGGGAGAGGAUAGUGGAAUUCCAGGUGUAGGAGUGAAAUCCGUAGAUAUCUGGAGGAACAUCAGUGGCGAAGGCGACUAUCUGGCACAUAACUGACGCUGAGGAGCGAAAGCGUGGGUAGCAAACAGGAUUAGAUACCCGAGUAGUC